AAGACCCUGGUGGACGCUGGUCACGUGAUCUGCUAAAUGUCAAAUAUUUAUUGACCUCGACUUGGAUUACUAAUUAAAAAUCUGCUAGAUUUAAGCAGAUCACGUGACCAACGUCUACCAGGGUCUU